GUCAAGUGAUUCCGCGCCGAUAAUGUAGCGGGGCUUAAGUUAUCCGCCGAAGCUGUGGCAACCUGUGUGGUUGGGUAGGGGAGCGUCGUGUCAGUGGUGAAGCUGCCGGGUGACUGUGUGGUGGAGUUGAUGCGAGUGAGAAUGCAGGCAUGAGUAGCGUGUGACGGGUGGGAAUCCCGUCCGCCGAUUAUCCAAGGGUUCCAGGGUCAAGUUUGUCUGCCCUGGGUGAGUCGGGUCCUAAGGCGAGGCCGACAGGCGUAGUCGAUGGGUAACCAGUUGAUAUUCUGGUACCGGCUUGUCACCGUCCGUGUCGAGGUGUGUGAUGCUAAGCAUGUGAGCUUGUCUUGGGAGUGUUUUUGAUGCUUCUGGGGUGGGUGAGUGUGUGAACCGAUCAUGUAGUAGGCAAGCUGCGGAGGGACGCAGUGAGGUAGCUCAUCCCCGGUGAUGGUUGUCCGGGGCUAAGUGUGUGGACUGUCUGGUAGGUAAAUCCGCUGGGCGUGAAGGUUGAGGCAUGAUGGGGAGCCCAUGGUUGUGGGUGAGUGAGUGAUCCUGUACUGUCGAGAAAAGCUUCGUGAGCGAGGUGGCGGGUCCGCCCGUACCCUAAACCGACACUGGUGGAUAGGUAGAGUAUACCGAGGCGAUCGAGUGAAUCGUGGUGAAGGAACUCGGCAAAAUGCCCCCGUAACUUUGGGAUAAGGGGGACCUGAGCUGUCGUGCACCCGUGCGGUGUGGUGGCGGUGAGGGGCGCAGAGUCCAGGGGGAAACGACUGUUUACCAAAAACACAGGUCCGUGCGAAGUCGUAAGACGAUGUAUACGGACUGACUCCUGCCCGGUGCUGGAAGGUUAAUUGAUGGGGUCAGCCGCAAGGCGAAGCUCUUGAUCGAAGCCCCAGUAAACGGCGGCCGUAACUAUAACGGUCCUAAGGUAGCGAAAUUCCUUGUCGGGUAAGUUCCGACCUGCACGAAUGGCGUAAUGAUGGCCAGGCUGUCUCCACCCGAGACUCAGUGAAAUUGAACUCGCUGUGAAGAUGCAGUGUACCCGCGGCAAGACGGAAAGACCCCGUGAACCUUUACUAUAGCUUGACACUGAACACUGGUCCUUGAUGUGUAGGAUAGGUGGGAGGCUUUGAAGCGUGGACGCCAGUCUGCGUGGAGCCAACCUUGAAAUACCACCCUUUAAUGGCUGGUGUUCUAACGUAGACCCGUGAUCCGGGUUGCGGACAGUGUCUGGUGGGUAGUUUGACUGGGGCGGUCUCCUCCCAAAGAGUAACGGAGGAGUGCGAAGGUAACCUCAGCGCGGUCGGAAAUCGCGCAGUGAGUGCAUAGGCAUAAGGUUGCUUGACUGCAAGACAAACAAGUCGAGCAGGUACGAAAGUAGGUCUUAGUGAUCCGGUGGUUCUGUAUGGAAGGGCCAUCGCUCAACGGAUAAAAGGUACUCCGGGGAUAACAGGCUGAUACCGCCCAAGAGUUCAUAUCGACGGCGGUGUUUGGCACCUCGAUGUCGGCUCAUC
rnacentral:rRNA from 1 species